GCAGUGUCAAAUUGGCAAUACUCCUGAGCAAGACAGACAGCUCUGUCCAAUACCCAACGAGCAGGAAUCAUAUCACUGUCGAAGAUAAAGCUGUUCCUAGAUAGUCAAAUCUGGUGAGCAAUAUAAGCCAUCCGCCCACCAACAACAGUCGAUCUGUCUGUCACACUCUGACAAAUCAAGCCAAGAAAGGAAACCAACUAUGGAUCAGCGCUCACCUCCCAUGGAUAACCACCUACCUGUCUCCAAAUGACCCUCGCCC
rnacentral:lncRNA from 1 species